CCAUCGGCUCUUAUCAGAGCUACCGGCCAAUCCAUGAAAGAAUAUU
rfam:Anopheles culicifacies strain species A-37_1 cont1.23687, whole genome shotgun sequence.